CCCCAAAGCAUCACUUUGUAUUGCACAUUAUGCUGCAUUCCUUUUCUCACCCUCAUACCAGAGUCUGAGGGGAGGGGGGCGGGGAAGCGCUACUGAUAAUACCAGCUUUAACUACUGGAGUUUCCCUUUGAACAAAUAUUCAAUUUAACCGGAGUUAAUUUACCAUAAAAGACAUUCCCCUUGGCACGAAUGCACUCCUGUCCUUGAACACACCUCUUUGAAUGCCUGAACUCGUACAGAAGCCAUUAUUUCGAGGUCUCUUUAAAAAUCAAGCGCCCAUCUCUCUCUUUCUCUCCCUCCCUCUCUACUUCCCUCCCUCCUCACCACACCACCCCCAGUGAAAUCCUGGCACCCAGAGAGCGCUUCGUUCAGCCAGAGAUCCUAGAACGAGCCGCUGUCCCCUAGCAAAAGAGGCCCAGUGCUGAACCCUGAGCAAGUGUCUGCAGACAACGGCUACCCCUCCUCCCUUAAUUAGUUUCCCUUACCAACAGAAACGGUUUCCUUUUGCCACCCAAACUAGGUCGCAUCCUAAAGUUUCUCACAAGCUUAAAAAAGAAAAAUGAAAAAUUGACAACUCUUACACAGAAGAGCCCACAAAAGCUGCAGCAGCGCCAGGGGUGAAGAAGCAGCGACAGACCCAGUUCUUGGCCCAAAGAAGAAAAGGCGGCAAAGUCAAGUCUAAAAGCAGGCAGCCCCUCAGCCUGUCUGGGUAUCCAGUUUUGCUUCCUCUCACUUGCAGAAGACUGUUUCUCGAGCCUAUGGCUAUAGCAGACCAGUACAUGCAGCAAGAGCACAGGGCAAGGUUGUGACCAUCUAGGGCUCAUUCUAGGUCCCACAACUCCCAAACAGGAAGCCGUAAGUGUGGGCAACUUAGCACAACUACAGAGUGACACUAAAGGCCAUCAAGACUUAGUCACUAAGGAGAAAAGAGGCACUUCAGCAGCCUUGGCUUCAUUCUUUGGAUCCCUAAGGGAGGAGACCUAAGUGACUACCCCCUCUGUCUCUCUUCUUGGCUUUAAAAAAAUAAACUGUCAUCCACUCAUAUGAAGGAAUGUUAUACAGCAAGGAAAAGCACAAACUUCUCUACAACAGGCAUGUAGAAAAGUGCACAUCAUAAGUUUAUAGCUAGGUGAAUAACCCACGUCACGAGUGUCCAUAUUAAGAAAUGGAAAAUUACUGGCAAUCCAGAAAGCACAUCCCAUUCUCCAUUCUCUGCCAAUUACUACUCCCACCAUCCUUCUCAAAGAUAACCACUAUCCUGAUUUCUAACAAUACAAAAUUGUAUUGUCUGUUUUUGAACUUUAUAUAAAGGGAAGCAUAUGAUAUUCACUCUUUUACUUCUGAACGGUUUUGUUCAACAUUUCAUGUAAGAGUUCUUCCUGCUGUUGGAAAAAACAAAGUUGUUUUGUUUCUCCACAUUGCAGUAUGGAAUUCUAUUGUAUGCAUACAACACGGUUUAUCUAUUGUAUACUUGACAACCACUGGGUCGUUUCCAGUUUGGAGCCAGUACAAAUAAAGGGAAUAGAAGCAUUCUUCUACAUGUCUUCCAGUGUAUGUAUGUAUGCAUUCUCUUGGGCAUAAACCUAGGAGAAUUUCUGGGUUACGAAGUAGCCUAUGAACAAUUUUAGUAGAUAAUGCUAAAUAAAUUUCCAAAGUGAUUGUACUAAUUUACACUCCCACCAGCAGUGUAGGAGAGAUUUAGUUGUUUUACAUUUUCCCCAACACUUUGUAUAAUCGGUCUUUUUAAUUUCUGGAUUAUAGUAAUAUCUCACUGUGGUUUUAAUUUGUAUUUUCUAGUUGACUAAUGAGGUUAAGCUGCUUUUCAUCUGUUUAUUGGCCUUUUUUUUUUUUUUUGGCUGCUUAGUAUGAAGGAUCUUAGUUCCCUGACCAGGGAUCGAAGCCAUGCCCCCUGCAGUGAAAGCACGUAGUCUUAACCACUGGACCGCUGGGGAAGUCCAUUAUUGGCCACUUGGAUAUUCUCUUUUGUGAAAUGUCUGUUCGAAUAGUUUACCCAUUUCUGUUGGGCUCUCCUGUUGGGUUUUUUUUU